UUUUAAAUGAGUAAGACCCCUGAGAGACGAUCAGGUAGAUAGGCUAGGAGUGGAAGUGCCGUGAGGCAUGGAGCGGACUAGUACUAAUCGGUCGAGGACUUAACCAAG
rnacentral:rRNA from 1 species